UACGAAGGUUGCAAGCGUUACUCGGAAUUACUAGGCGUAAAGGGCAGGUAGGUGGUUUGGUAAGUCUAUUGUGAAGCUCCCGGCUUAACUGGGAGAGGCCAAUGGAUACUGCCAAGCUUGAGUAUAGGAGAGGUUACUGGAAUUCCCGGUGUAGCGGUGAAAUGCGCGAUAUCGGGAGGAACACCAAAUGGCGAAAGCAGGUAACUGGCUAUUACUACACUCAACUGCGAAAGCUAGGGGAGCAAACA
rnacentral:rRNA from 1 species